AUUUGGUUAUGGAGUUAUUAAUUUAUCUUUAUUGGUUUAUCCAAACCACCCACAACAACCAAUUAUGAGAGAGUAAAAAUAGAGAAAGCUUUACGUAUACUCUCAGGAGCCCUAUCCCUUCUAGCCGCCUACUCUAUCCAUGUGCUCUGAAAGCUUGAAAUCUCAUAGCACGCUGCCAUUAAUUGAGUGCUUAGAUUUGAAUCUCGCGCUUCAUGUGUGAUGGCUGGAUUUCUUGAAGACAAAGUUGGAGGAGGCGAUGAAGGUGGCGGAAGGGAGCUUCUCUUGGAAAGAUUGGGGGUGGGGCGGUGGGCUUGAUUUCUGUUAUAAAAGUAUCAUCUUCUUUAUUUUGCAUGCAACCUUUUCUUGGUGUACUAUUAAUGGAGAUGAUCCGAUGGAGUUGUUUUGCAACUGAAUCCAUCAACUAAUCCUAGCAUCUAAGAUUUUCCUCAGUAACAAUUACAAAAACUAUGUCCAGAUUGGAGUGAUAGUUCUAAUUGCAUCAGGUGAGGAUUUAGCGAUUAAGGGUGAGGCAGCGAUGGUUUGUGAGAAAGAGUAAAGUUAGUAGAUAAUGAAUUUGACUCUAUAAACAUGAAGAGGAGACUUUGGGACACUACACUAUGUUGAAAGGAUGUAUUCGUUUUUUCUUGCUUCUAAAAGUAUGUGUUACUCCUUUUUAUUCUUAUCAUAUGGACGAGUUAGGGGGUUUCCUUUACUGAUAACUGUUUUUUGUCCAAUUAAGCUGUAAUGCUGUCCAAUUUGCAUUUCCUUCUCAGAAGAUCAUUUCUACAUUGAAUGUAAUCUAUUUCCAUGAACUUUAGGGGGCUUUUUGGAGAACACUUUCAUUUCAAAAUUAUUUGGUCUUUGCCUAUACAGUUCCAUAUGGAAUCAUACAUAGAUAAUUAAGAUGUAUGUGCUGCAAGAGUUUACUGCUAGAUAGUACUCAUCUAGGUGAGUUUGAUGUGUUUCAUGUUAGGUGCCUAUUAGUUUAACUAAAGCUCUAUAUACAUUCUUUUUUCUUGCUCGAGUGAAGCUCUAAUUGUUGUGAAGAGCUCAGUUUCUCAUGCGUUGAGACUUGAGAGUGACUUUUAUAAAUCUGAUGCUUAGUCUUUUCCUUUGAUAUAUUAUGAUUACUUAUAUAUUAAUUAUUCUUGGGUUUGGAUUACAGAUUAGAAAAAUUGGAACAAUUUUCUAUAUUUCUUAGGCAUAAUUAAUAUAAUAGGGUGUUUGGUUACUCUUUCGUUGUUUUCUCUUUUAUUUAAAACAGAUUGGGAUGGAAAACAUGUUUAGCAUUUUUUACCUUUAUAAUUUUACUUUUUAUAAUAUGGUCAAGUUUGAUAGUAGCAAGUAAUAGUUUUUUCAUUUCUCAAAUUUAUGAAGUUGGACAUGGCAUUAAUGAUCACAUUGGGUUUUUGACUUGGAGGGGGGAGUUUUUUUUUUUAAUCAGUAAAGUAUAUAUGUAUAUUAUAAUAAAUAGGGAAUACUAGGAGUAUUCCAAUCCAGUACAAAAAAUAGCAAGCCAGGAACACACAGAAGCAGGGGAAAACAGAAAAGAGACCCUGCAACUACGGAACCAAAGCAAACAACACUACCCAGUCCACCCGAUACAUAACCAAGAGACAACACUCUGCAUAGACCUAUAUUAAUUGACAUAUUAAGGUUCUCAAUUAGUAGAUUGGAUGUUUACAUCCUCAAAGCUUAUUGAUAACUUGGUUUAUCAUCUUCUUUCCUUGACUUAUUAAAAAUUUCUAUUUAAUUGUAUACCUUCUUUCCUUUGAUUACAGAUUUGCUUCUUAAAUUGCUACUAAGGAUUUCAUGAGGCAUAGUCUCCUUUUUCUUAUGUAUACCUUUAUAUUUGAUGGUUCAUUUUAAGUAAAUGGGGAUAACAAUGAUACUUUAAAGGAAACAGAAGCACCAUUUGCUUUAUUCCAGAAUCCAUGUUAUUAAAAUAUGUGUUGCACUAUAAAAUGCACUGCACUAUUACACUGCACCUACCCCAUAAAUUUUCACCGUUGUGGCACAUGUGAAACUUUCAAUGAAGUCGGCAAAGGUGUUCAUCACAUAGUGAUCAUUGUUUCAUUUUAGUAUUCCAAAACCUGAAGUUGCAAUAACAGUGUUAGAGGAUUUGUGGAGCUUCUGUAAUUAGUAAGAGAUGAGAUUGUUGGUAUCCAUGGAUGACAUGGUGCCUCACAUGAUUUUAUUUUUAAGAGGUGUUGAACUGCUGCCUUUUCAGUUCUAUAUACUGACUCACAUAGCUCUUUAAUAUCUACUGCUCUUGAAAUAGAGCUAAAAAUAAUGUGAUUCUGAUGUUGAACUACGUGAACACUUUGGUUCAGAUUGUGUUGAUGCUAUUUACGGGAGUGGAAAAAGAGUCAUUCACAUUGAGUAUGAUACUGCUAGGCCUUAUAAGUGGCUUGGUGAGAAUUGGUCUAUAUGAUAUGAGCUAUGAUGAUUUAAAUAUGGAAUGUUACUAUGGUUGUUAUGUGGAUUGUUAUUUCAUCAAAUAUGUUUCAAUUUUUGGCUUUUGGGUCUUAAGUGUUGCCAAGAUUUUUUUUUUGUUUUUCUUUUGUGUCAUGUUGCCUAGACCCUUAUGUUUUUGGGUUAUGCUUAUGGUUUUCUUUUAAUUGGGCGUCUAAAGUUAUUAUCUAAUUGCUGUUGUGUGUUUGUUUUUGUUUGGAAUGUAGGCAAAGCUACAUAAGCUUUCAGAGGAUUGAAGAGCUCCUAAAGGCUAUGGAUGAGCUACUGGAAUAGUAGGAGGAUGAUCUCAAAAUUUGUGGCCAUCAGUAGGAUAAGCUUCCCUCUGAAGGAGAACAAAGUUGAUUUCGGUUGAAUGAUCUUACAAUUUUCCAGUGAAAUAAAAUACAGUUUGUCAUGUCUAAAAGUGAGAUAUAGAAAGAGAUCAGAUGAUGGCACCUCAUGAAUGCUUGAGUACUCUAAGUUUAAAAAUUUGAAGGCAAAGCUGGAAAUGACCUGGUUAUUAGUAUAGAUUGUAAUUUUAUAAGUAGUUUUCCAUGCCAGGAUAUAGUCACUUUGAUUUCUUAAACCAAAUAACAUUGUAAUAGUAUAAUGCAGACUGCUGUGUUUUCUGAACACGUUGCUUCUACAAUUAGCUUAACUGAUUAUAGUUAAUGCAGUAAUAUGAAUCUAUUCAAUUUUAUAUGUUGAGCACAUACUGGA